GACUGAUCAAACUUCAUGAUGCUUACUCGUUUUUUUUAUCUGGUUUUAUUCGUGUACUAAAAACCCUAAAAGGCCCUACACGUGGCGGCCUGUGUAAUAUUACCUGGAAAAAUAAUGAGUAUGCGCAGCUCUGCUCCUGAAUUUAAUGGUUUCCUCCAUGCUUGACCGGAUCCACUCCUCCACCUUGUUUCAUUAAAACUGCCCUGGUUCUUUUAGAACAAAUAACACCCUGAUAGAUAUACUACCCCUUUAAAAAUAAUUUGUGAAGAAGGAAAAUGGACUACAAAUCUAUUGGCAAUUAUUAACUCCGCAAUGACGAGACCGAGAAAUCCCUGGUGUAGUUUUCCCCACUUGAAGAGGAGGUUUCUGCCACUGGAUACUUUCCACUUCAGAAAAUGACCUUUGACCCCCUGAUAUCAACAACGCCUAGAGCCUGACUGCUUCAUCAAGUGCUAAUUGCCCCUUUAGAAAAAUACACCAUGUUUUGGGAUCUGUAGGGGGCAAGUCUUUCGAUUGCUUGUCAUUUGUAACUGAUGAGUUCAAGCUUUGUGAAGAUGCUGCAUUGUGUGAAAUUGUUGACUGACCUGCCCAGACAGACUGUAAGACAGAUAGGAAAAUUAAAUGCAUAUUUGUCAGUACUUAUUUAUCAAGCAAUAUUAGGUGACUCUUACUUUUUUUAGCAGCAUCUCCUUCUGAUCACUGCAAAUAUUAGAUUUUGACAUUGUGAUGUAUCUUCUGGGAUGAGACAGCCAAGGAAUUUCCUGAGAGGCAUCACACCAAAUGUUGGAUCCAGAGAAUGCCGGGAUUGUACUUUUUCCACAUUUAUAUUUUCAUUUGGUGCUUCCACACUGGGUGGAUAAUAUAAAAUAGGUAGAGCGUGCUGGGCAGACAUCUUCAGAAAUAAAUCCUGGUUAACUGACUGGGCGCUUUGAUUUAUUUGUGCUUUAUUUAGAAAACUCUCUCUUAAUAAUCUGGCAUGAAUUUGCAAAUAUUCCUCACAGUGUUGUUUUUCAAUUUGAGAUACAUAGUUGGUGUUUUGCGUGUACUUUUGAAGUGUGUCAAAACAAUCAGCUGGAGGAAGCAUGGUGUAUUAUUCACAACCUCCCAUACAGUGUUUCCUCGGUUAACCACUGACCUCAAUCGUGUUUUAUUUUUUUUUUUUUACCCUCUCAGCUAAUGUUAACACAACCACAAAGCAUCUCUUUAUAAAUGGGCUUCCCCGAAAUAAACAUUUACACAAAUAUAAAGACAACUGUCUCCCAUGCUGUUUGUGUCAAAUGUGAAUAACUGCAGCAUUUGUGGAAGCUUUGUGGGAGUUUGGACUUAAAGCAUGUUUUUUGGUUGUUCAAUAGGAAAGCUGGAGGGGGUGACAGCCGCAGAUCUGGUCGGAAGAUCCAACUGUGGUCCAUUCUCACACUGGCCAACGAACCAUCAACUGACACAUUUUUUUAGUGACCUGCUCAAAACACAGAGUACAUUUAUCUUCUCUUUGUUUCGAUGACAUGUGCAAAACCAAAACAAGCUGACGAGAUGUCCUUGUUUCAUUUUAGAACAUCACCAGAAGAAGAAGAUCUCAUCCUGCCCACCCUCAAGGGGAUAGAAACGGACUAAAAUAAAACCAGAUCAUUUGUCUGGCUCAUCACGAGGAUGUAUUUGACCACUGUGGCUAAAGGUUGAAAUUAGACAAUGCAUGGCAACAGUCAUAACUAAAGAAUAACAAUAUGUAUUUGUUAAGAUUAUACGCUUUACAAGUCUCACAAGACUAUUCAACUUGGAGGAGGAAAAAGUCUUGUGAAUCCUUGUUGUGGACAGAAACCAUAAUAAUGUGUGUGCAUCCCAGCAAUUUGAAACCGCAAAGGCAGAACAAAGAGUAGGAAAUAUACUGGCAUCAUAUUUAGACCACAAACAAGCCCAAAAAAAUGAAUUAUUUUUUAACUGAAUUUGAAAGACCACUUUAAGCGUCAAGUCUAAUCUCCCAUUAACUAUUCCGCAAACCAUGUCACGUGACAGAAAAACAUAAAAAAAUCUUUAUUGAUUGCAUAUUAUGCUUUUAUUGGUGUACAUGGGGUAAAAAAAAUAAUAAUUAGGUGCUUUCAGGUUAAUUUGUUUCUAGCUGGCACACCCUCAAAACAAUUCUCAACUUGCUCAUUGAUUUAAAGCUGUACACAAAAGUGCAAGUAAUUUGAAAUAAUCUCUGUCUAUGUCAAAACAUUUUGGAUCAGAUCCUUGGAAAA